UACGUAGGGUGCAAGCGUUGUCCGGAAUUAUUGGGCGUAAAGAGCUCGUAGGCGGUUUGUCACGACUGCUGUGAAAACUGGAGGCUCAACCUCCAGCUUGCAGUGGGUACGGGCAGACUAGAGUGCGGUAGGGGAGAUUGGAAUUCCUGGUGUAGCGGUGGAAUGCGCAGAUAUCAGGAGGAACACCGAUGGCGAAGGCAGAUCUCUGGGCCGUAACUGACGCUGAGGAGCGAAAGCAUGGGGAGCGAACAGG
rnacentral:rRNA from 1 species